GAUCACGUCGAGGCCGCGGAGGGUGAAGCCGUUCGCCGAGGAGCUCUUCUCGACGGGGUCGCCGGAGGGGGUCUCGUCCAGCAGGAUCGAGGCGUCGCAUCCCUGAUGAUGAUCAUCGAUCGAAUAUUGAUCAACAAGGAUGACUCGCCCGGACGAAGCAAUCGUGGAAAUAGAGGCGGAUGAGGCCGGCGGCGAUGGUGGGGUCGACGGCGUGGCGGGCCGUGACCGCCUCGCGCACGAUUUCCUCGGCCUUCGGGCAGGUGGAGUUGUAAUACCCCACCCUGAGCCGCGAUGCCGUCUCGCGCAACUCCGCCGACGCAGUCGCGUGCCGUACGACGACGACGACAAGGAGAAAGACGAGCACAGUUAGCACGUCCUUGUUCAUCGUAACGGCAGCGGCGGCGGCGGCAGCGACGACAGCAGCGGCGGUCUCUUCCGGGAGGAUUCAAGUUUGGAAGGGCGCGAAAUGUCUGCGGUGGAAGGGGAGGGCUAAUUUUAUUGGGAAUCUCCGGCGUUUUCUCUUCAUUCGGAAAGUACCACUCCUGAGUGUGAGGCCUAAAAUUAACUAGAGUUUGAAAGAGUCCCUGGCCUUUGCUUUCUAAACACUUGGCAUUAGACUAAUAAUCUAAUCUCUAUUAAUGCCUGAUUAAUAAUACACCCCUUAAAAAUGAAAAAUUGAUACAGUUUUGCAUGCGGAAAUGUAAUUAAAAUAAGUGUUAAGAUAACGAGCCGGCUCUUGUUCCGCUCGAAAUUGGGAUAAUCCAACUCAGUUUUUGAUUUAUAAUUAAUUUGAGCUUAGCUCGAGAAUAUUUCGAGCCAA